rnacentral:rRNA from 1 species
AGUGAGAAGGCCUUACGGGUUGUAAAAGCUCUUUCAGUUGAGAAGAAAAAGUCGUGACUAAUAAUCAUGAUUCAUGACGGUAUCAACAGAAGAAGCACCGGCUAACUACGUGCCAGCAGCCGCGGUAAUACGUAGGGUGCAAGCGUUAUCGGAAUUACUGGGGCGUAAAGGGGUGCGCAGGCGGUUCUGUAAGUCAGAUGUGAAAUCCCCGGGCUUAACCUGGGAACUGCGUUUGAAAACUGCAGAGCUAGAGUGCAGCAGAGGGAGGUGGAAUUCCAUGUGUAGCAGUGAAAUGCGUAGAGAUAUGGAAGAACAUCGAUGGCGAAGGCAACCUCCUGGGCUAGCACUGACGCUCAUGCACGAAAGCGUGGGGAGCAAACAGGAUUAGAUACCCUGGUAGUCCACGCCCUAAACUAUGUCAACUAGUUGUCGGGUCUUAUUAGACUUGGUAACGUAGCUAACGCGUGAAGUUGACCGCCUGGGGAGUACGGUCGCAAGAUUAAAACUCAAAGGAAUUGACGGGGG